GGACUACCAGGGUUUCUAAUCCUGUUUGAUCCCCACGCUUUCGCGCCUCAGUGUCAAUGUCGGUCCAGUUGGCCGCCUUCGCCACGGGUGUUCUUCCCAAUCUCUACGAAUUUCACCUCUACACUGGGAAUUCCACCAACCUCUACCGAAUUCAAGCAAAGCAGUCUUGAGUGCAAUUCCAGGGUUGAGCCCUGGGCUUUCACACCCAACUUGCCAAGCCACCUACGCGCCCUUUACGCCCAGUAAUUCCGAACAACGCUAGCCCCCUUCGUAUUACCGCGGCGGCUGGCAC
rnacentral:rRNA from 1 species